rnacentral:rRNA from 1 species
UCAUUACCGAGUUUACAACUCCCAAACCCAAUGUGAACCAUACCAAACUGUUGCCUCGGCGGGGUCACGCCCCGGGUGCGUCGCAGCCCCGGAACCAGGCGCCCGCCGGAGGGACCAACCAAACUCUUUUCUGUAGUCCCCUCGCGGACGUUAUUUCUUACAGCUCUGAGCAAAAAUUCAAAAUGAAUCAAAACUUUCAAAAACGGAUCUCUUGGUUCUGGCAUCGAUGAAGAACGCAGCGAAAUGCGAUAAGUAAUGUGAAUUGCAGAAUACAGUGAAUCAUCGAAUCUUUGAACGCACAUUGCGCCCGCCAGUAUUCUGGCGGGCAUGCCUGUCCGAACGUCAUUUCAACCCUCGAACCCCUCCGGGGGGUCGGCGUUGGGGACCUCGGGAGCCCCUAAGACGGGAUCCCGGCCCCGAAAUACAGUGGCGGUCUCGCCGCAGCCUCUCCUGCGCAGUAGUUUGCACAACUCGCACCGGGAGCGCGGCGCGUCCACGUCCGUAAAACACCCAACUUCUGAAAUGGGACCCUCGGAUCACGUAGGAAUACCCGCUGAAAUUAAGCUUCAAAUAGGGGAAUCC